UACAGCAAAACCCACCAGCCAACUCCACU
rnacentral:piRNA from 1 species